rnacentral:rRNA from 1 species
GAGGGGUAUUUAUCUUCGGAUAGAGAGACCGGCGCACGGGUGCGUAACGCGUAUGCAAUCUACCUUUUGCAGAGGGAUAGCCCAGAGAAAUUUGGAUUAAUACCUCAUAGCAUAUAGAGUUGGCAUCAACACUAUAUUAAAGUCACAACGGCAAAAGAUGAGCAUGCGUCCCAUUAGCUAGUUGGUAAGGUAACGGCUUACCAAGGCUACGAUGGGUAGGGGUCCUGAGAGGGAGAUCCCCCACACUGGUACUGAGACACGGACCAGACUCCUACGGGAGGCAGCAGUGAGGAAUAUUGGACAAUGGGCGCAAGCCUGGUCCAGCCAUGCCGCGUGCAGGAUGACGGUCCUAUGGAUUGUAAACUGCUUUUGCACAGGAAGAAACAACGCUACGUGUAGCGUCUUGACGGUACUGUGAGAAUAAGGAUCGGCUAACUCCGUGCCAGCAGCCGCGGUAAUACGGAGGAUCCAAGCGUUAUCCGGAAUCAUUGGGUUUAAAGGGUCCGUAGGCGGUUUAGUAAGUCAGUGGUGAAAGCCCAUCGCUCAACGGUGGAACGGCCAUUGAUACUGCUAGACUUGAAUUAUUAGGAAGUAACUAGAAUAUGUAGUGUAGCGGUGAAAUGCUUAGAGAUUACAUGGAAUACCAAUUGCGAAGGCAGGUUACUACUAAUGGAUUGACGCUGAUGGACGAAAGCGUGGGUAGCGAACAGGAUUAGAUACCCUGGUAGUCCACGCCGUANACGAUGGAUACUAGCUGUUGGGAGCGAUCUCAGUGGCUAAGCGAAAGUGAUAAGUAUCCCACCUGGGGAGUACGUUCGCAAGAAUGAAACUCAAAGGAAUUGACGGGGGCCCGCACAAGCGGUGGA